rnacentral:misc_RNA from 1 species
UCUGCCUUAUCGGCAAGCGGUCCCAUUAAAGUGCCCAACUUAAUGCUGGCAACUAAUGGCGAGGGUUGCGCUCGUUGCGGGACUUAACCCAACAUCUCACGACACGAGCUGACGACAGCCAUGCAACACCUGUCUUGGCGCUCCCGAAGGAUACCUCCACUUUCAUGGAGUUACACCAGAUGUCAAGCCCAGGAUAAGGUUCUGCGCGUUGCUUCGAAUUAAACCACAUACUCCACCGCUUGUGCGGGCCCCCGUCAAUUUCUUUGAGUUUUAAUCUUGCGACCGUACUUCCCAGGCGGGAUACUUAACGCGUUAGCUGCGAUACCGAAAGGGUAAGUUCUUCCGACAUCUAGUAUCCAUCGUUUACAGCGUGGACUAC